rfam:Myotis lucifugus cont2.14952, whole genome shotgun sequence.
GGCAGUUCUCGGCACCCUGGAAUUGGGUUCCCUCCUCUCUGGUUCCGGGUGCAUCACCCGAGAACCGCA